CUUCUGUCCUGUUUAGAGCCGUCCAGCCACAGCUGACGCUGGGAAACAUUCCUGAAUGAAUUAAGAACAGCCGGGGAGAAAGCGGAGUCGGGUGGAGGCGAAAGACCAGCGGCAGGUGGACAGAGGGAGGAAGGACAGAGAGGAGGGGUCGCCCCCACAAGGGCCAGGCCGGGAGUCUGGAGGAGCCCCCUGCCGGGAAUGCAGCUGGGGAAAGAGGUUAUUAGGUGCAGUCCUGAGAACGGGGCAGGGAUGAGAGGCAGGGAAUUUGUUACUCGAAAACUGGGCUCGACUCGGUGGACGUUGCGCCAAGAGACACAGUCAAGCCAAACAGCGGGAGAAGGAAGCAUUUAUUACUUGCAGCAAUUCGCUCUGUUUUUCUUCACCCUUGCCUUCCAUUCUGGGAGGGAAGAUCCACCUCAACAGGGUGGGCUCCUCUCACGAGCCCACCUCCGGCGGCCCCCUCCCUCGGACCUUGCCAAGACACCGAGACGAGCUCCAGGACAGGACUCUCCACUUGCCUUCUGGACUGACAUCCACACACUGGCCCACAUUUCAUCCCUCAGUUGCAAGGGGUCACGAUGUCUCAUCUCCUUGAUCUGAAUGUCACGAGGGAGCCUUGGGAUUGCUCAGACGUGAAAGGAAGCCUGUCAUUCUGCUGGGUUGGUCGGUGGUUUCUCCUCUCUGCUGCCUUCCUGCAAAGCGGAUCGCUGUCAAGAUUGAAAAAUGUAAACAUGUCUGACAAAGCCCCCUUUCACAGAGAGCUAUAGUCUCCAGCACAUGCCCACCUGCCUGCCCAGUCUUGCUGCUGUCCACCAUCCUCCCAACAUGUCCUGUGAUGCAGCCCACCCCAGAAACCAGAAGUUUUCCCCCAGAAUC
ensembl:lncRNA